AUGCCAGCGCAACAAGACGGAGACACUGCGGCUGGUGGGCCUACUAUAGACCUUGAGGUGCCAUCUCAGGUCUGGGCCGACAUCUCCAUGGACUUCAUCGAGGGCCUUCCCAAGGUGGGAAGCAAGUCCGUCAUCCUCACGGUGGUCGACCACUUCUCCAAGUAUGCACACUUCAUCGCGCUCGGCCACCCCUGCACCGCCGCCUCCGUGACGCGUGCCUUCUUCGACGGCAUCGUCCGCCUCCACGGGUUCCCCUCUUCGAUCGUCAGCGACCGUGACCCGGUGUUCACUCGUCAUGUCUGCCGGGAUCUCUUCCGGAUGGCGGCGUGA
rnacentral:rRNA from 1 species